rnacentral:rRNA from 1 species
CCAAUAGCGUAUAUUAAAGUUGCUGCAGUUAAAAGCUCGUAGUUGAAUUUCGGAACCAAUAUGUUGGUUGUGCCUCGGUACGUACUGGCAUUGUUGGUUUCUCCCUUCUGACGAACUAUGAUGUCAUUAAUUUGGUGUCAUGGGGAAUCAGGACUGUUACUUUGAAAAAAUUAGAGUGUUUAAAGCAGGCUCACGCUUGAAUACAUUAGCAUGGAAUAAUGAAAUAGGACGUUUUGAUUCUAUUUUGUUGGUUUCUAGGAUUGACGUAAUGAUUAAUAGGGAUAGUUGGGGGCAUUAGUAUUCAAUUGUCAGAGGUGAAAUUCUUGGAUUUAUUGAAGACUAACUACUGCGAAAGCAUUUGCCAAGGAUGUUUUCAUUAAUCAAGAACGAAAGUUAGGGGAUCGAAGACGAUCAGAUACCGUCGUAGUCUUAACCAUAAACUAUGCCGACUAGGGAUCGGAUGAUGUAAUUUUUAAUGACUCAUUCGGCGCCUUACGGGAAA